UCCACCAUUCUAAGCUGCCUCUCAUCCUAUAGUACAUAAAUCAGAAUUGGACAUUACAUAAGAACAACAAGGAAGGGAGAAAAAAGUAUGAUGAAUGACUGGGAAUGGGCAAUUAAUUACCAAAGGAUCAUACAAACCUUUUCAGAGCCUAAUUCCUGCUAAUUUUGGAGCAUUAGAUUCUAGAUAAGGCCUGAGGACAUUCAGAAUUAGCCAUGCCCCCUAGCUAUGCAAAGAAGGUUAUAAAGAAAAUGGAUUUUAUACCAGAAAGGAUUUUGUAUAGUAAAUUCUUGUCCUAAAGUAAAAUAACUGGCUGUUUAAAAACAGGGAUGUUCAGGACAAGUCAAGAAGUCCAAACAUGGUCUGUG
rnacentral:lncRNA from 10 species